rnacentral:lncRNA from 1 species
AUGUUGAAGAUAUUAUUCCAUCCGAGCAUCAACAAUUAUCCAAUUAUAUUUCAUACCUUUUACCGCUAGUCUCUCGUGCCAAAAUAACGAGUCAUUAAAGGGUCAAAUAGACUCAAAUGCAACCGGCUACCGACCCAAUCGGACCAAGCUUCUAUCUGAAAUCCUGAUCCAUGGAUCGAACAUGGAACUUGAACUAACUUCCCAAUAAAUGAUUUGAUGGUGUUCGAUCCGGUUUGAUGUCCCAGGUU